rnacentral:rRNA from 1 species
GACGAACGCUGGCGGCGUGCCUAAUACAUGCAAGUUGAGCGCUGAAGGUUGGUACUUGUACCAACUGGAUGAGCAGCGAACGGGUGAGUAACGCGUGGGGAAUCUGCCUUUGAGCGGGGGACAACAUUUGGAAACGAAUGCUAAUACCGCAUAAAAACUUUAAACACAAGUUUUAAGUUUGAAAGAUGCAAUUGCAUCACUCAAAGAUGAUCCCGCGUUGUAUUAGCUAGUUGGUGAGGGAAAGGCUCACCAAGGCGAUGAUACAUAGCCGACCUGAGAGGGUGGUCGGCCACAUUGGGACUGGGACACCGCCCCAGCUCCUACGGGAGGCAGCAGUAGGGAAUCUUCGGCAAUGGACGAAAGUCUGACCGAGCAACGCCGGGUGAGUGAAGAAGGUUUUCGGAUCGUAAAACUCUGUUGGUAGAGAAGAACGUUGGUGAGAGUGGAAAGCUCAUCAAGUGACGGUAACUACCCAGAAAGGGACGGCUAACUACGUG